UAGUGGCCCCAAGUCAGGCGA
rnacentral:rRNA from 2 species